AGGAGUGGAAGAGAUUUCCUCUAAUCAACAAGGUACAUUCCUCAGAUUCACCCAAAUGAUCCCUCUACUGUUGGCCAGCCUGUACACUAGUUGUACAGUUGAGCUCAAUCUUAGAAAUGUAGUAGCCAACUCCACAUAUGGCCAAAGUCCCCACUGAGUUUGAAAACCCUAUGGGUUGUCAAAACACUAGUGAUACAUUACCAUUAUCACGUGACAAAAAUAAUGCAAGUAAGCACCUUUACUGGCCAAAGGGCCAUGCACAGUGAAAAUAACGUAAGAGUUGGCAAGUUCAUCCAAUCUUUGUAACUUUAACGAUACCCUAACCAUAACAAUAACUUGUAUUUGCUAGCGUUAAUUAUCAGCAAUAGCAAACGUAUCAGUAAUAACUUUGUUAAAGCCUGGUUUGCAGCCUUCACAUGUAGAUCGCAGAUCUAAACAUGUUCGGGAGGCUAUUGGACUUACACCACCUCGCCAAAGAGAAACGUAAUGUAUGAUUUAGAUAUCUGCGCACCCAUUAUUUAAAUGUGCGCAAAUUCAGCGCAGCCAUGGAGGUGAAAACAAGCUUUUUGGCUGAGAAGAGAUGACAAGUGACAUUCCGACAGAAAGUCCCUCUACGGCAUUUGUUGUCGAAAGCUUGAAAAAAUGUCAAUAUCAUUGUUCCAAAAUAAAAAAGGUAUUCAACCCAAGGUUUCUAUUUAACACCAUUUCUAGAUUAACAAAAAAAUAAAAAAUA